GAUGAACGCUGGCGGCGUGCCUAAUACAUGCCAGUCGAGCGAACAGACGAGGAGCUUGCUCCUCUGACGUUAGCGGCGGACGGGUGAGUAACACGUGGAUAACCUACCUAUAAGACUGGGAUAACUUCGGGAAACCGGAGCUAAUACCGGAUAAUAUAUUGAACCGCAUGGUUCAAUAGUGAAAGACGGUUUUGCUGUCACUUAUAGAUGGAUCCGCGCCGCAUUAGCUAGUUGGUAUGGUAACGGCUUACCAAGGCAACGAUGCGUAGCCGACCUGAGAGGGUGAUCGGCCACACUGGAACUGAGACACGGUCCAGACUCCUACGGGAGGCAGCAGUAGGGAAUCUUCCGCAAUGGGCGAAAGCCUGACGGAGCAACGCCGCGUGAGUGAUGAAGGUCUUCGGAUCGUAAAACUCUGUUAUUAGGGAAGAACAAAUGUGUAAGUAACUAUGCACGUCUUGACGGUACCUAAUCAGAAAGCCACGGCUAACUACGUG
rnacentral:rRNA from 1 species